rnacentral:rRNA from 1 species
ACUCCUACGGGAGGCAGCAGUGGGGAAUAUUGCACAAUGGGCGCAAGCCUGAUGCAGCCAUGCCGCGUGUGUGAAGAAGGCCUUCGGGUUGUAAAGCACUUUCAGUCGUGAGGGAAGGGUAGGUUAGUAGUUAAUGAGCAUGCUAUUAUUUGACGUUAGCGACAGAAGAAGCACCGGCUAACUCCGUGCCAGCAGCCGCGGUAAUACGGAGGGUGCGAGCGUUAAUCGGAAUUACUGGGCGUAAAGCGCAUGCAGGUGGUUUGUUAAGUCAGAUGUGAAAG